rnacentral:rRNA from 1 species
CCUUCCGUAGGUGAACCUGCGGAAGGAUCAUUAUCGAGUUUUGAC